CAGUCGCCGCGGGAAUACGAAGGGUGCAAGCGUUAAUCGGAAUUACUGGGCGUAAAGCGUGCGCAGGCGGUUUGUUAAGACAGAUGUGAAAUCCCCGGGCUCAACCUGGGAACUGCAUUUGUGACUGGCAAGCUAGAGUGUGGCAGAGGGGGGUGGAAUUCCGCGUGUAGCAGUGAAAUGCGUAGAUAUGCGGAGGAACACCGAUGGCGAAGGCAGCCCCCUGGGCCAACACUGACGCUCAUGCACGAAAGCGUGGGGAGCAAACAGGAUUAGAUACCCCCGUAGUCCCUGUCUCUUAUAC
rnacentral:rRNA from 1 species